rnacentral:lncRNA from 1 species
CCGUCAAGCACUUCCGCCUCCAGGAAGGCUGCGGCCCCGCCCCAGGGUCUGGCCAGAGGCCAGAGAGCAGAGUCUGUGUGGAAAGCUGCUGAUGGACUCUGGGUUCGAUGGCCUAACACGAGCUGGUGCCACACUCCGGGAGGUGACAAGGAGCUAAUUACAUGGAGGAAAGAGAGCCAGCAGAAGAGGUCAUUGCAAAGGGUGGAUUUCUUCCUGAUUAACUGCGCGGGGAGACACAACCGGAAGGAACAGUACGGGGCAGUGUUUGUGCCAUCGGAGAUAAGCACCACGUAUCUGGCGAGGCGGGGUCAAGUGUACGGUGGGGAAAGGAGGCCUCACAGGGUGGCAGGAGCAGAUGCAGCGCCCUGUCCACACACACCAGAAAGCUUGAAGGGAAAGGCGGGAAGAGCCAGGAGGCUGGCCACACAUCCCCAGGUGCCAUUGACUGCUUGGGUGAACUUGGGCAUGAAACCUAACUGCUGGGGCCACCAGUCAUCAGUGGACAUGGGGCUCACCUCACAGGAAGGCU